rnacentral:lncRNA from 1 species
AUAGUUCUCAUAGUUCUAACCAUUAAUUUCCAGCCCUGCUCUCAUCCAUAAUGCUUGCUUUUUGCUUCCAUCAGAUGCUUCGAGGACAAAUCAGACCUGAGGAUUCUGAACAGGCUCCAUGGAAAAGUCCCUGUUCCAGAGGCCUAGCUGUCACAAUCCUGAUUUCUAUACCUCUUCAGAACGUGAAGGAAGGACUUUACGAUACUGACACAGAAACCAGUGAUAAGACUGAAAGGAAAACAGCAAGAAGUUUGGAACCUGGCUGUGGAAUCACACUGAUGACGUUUAAAGUCCAUGUCUGCCACUAACUACUUAUGUGACUGUAGGCAAAUUAUUUGAUCUCUCUGUGCGACUAUUUUCCUCAUCAGUAAAAUGAAGGUAGCAAUAUAAUUUAAUUUAGAAAUUUCGAGAAUUUAAUAUUAUGAUACCAUCUAAGCAGCUAGACACAUACCUGACACGGAAUAAAUGCCCAAUAAAAAUAUACGCUAUUAUUUUA